AAAAAUUUAGUUAAUAAAUAUAACACUAACAUGUCAAGUUAGAAUAAUUAAAUAAUAAUUUUUA
rnacentral:tRNA from 1 species